GGAGGGAUAGCUCAGUGGUUUGAGCAUUGGCCUGCUAAACCCAGGGUCCUGAGGUCCCUUCC
rnacentral:tRNA from 1 species